ACUCCUACGGGAGGCAGCAGUAGGGAAUCUUCCACAAUGGGCGCAAGCCUGAUGGAGCAACGCCGCGUGUGUGAUGAAGGCUUUCGGGUCGUAAAGCACUGUUGUAUGGGAAGAAAUGCUAAAAUAGGGAAUGAUUUUAGUUUGACGGUACCAUACCAGAAAGGGACGGCUAAAUACGUGCCAGCAGCCGCGGUAAUACGUAUGUCCCGAGCGUUAUCCGGAUUUAUUGGGCGUAAAGCGAGCGCAGACGGUUGAUUAAGUCUGAUGUGAAAGCCCGGAGCUCAACUCCGGAAUGGCAUUGGAAACUGGUUAACUUGAGUGUUGUAGAGGUAAGUGGAACUCCAUGUGUAGCGGUGGAAUGCGUAGAUAUAUGGAAGAACACCAGUGGCGAAGGCGGCUUACUGGACAACAACUGACGUUGAGGCUCGAAAGUGUGGGUAGCAAACAGGA
rnacentral:rRNA from 1 species